rnacentral:rRNA from 1 species
AGAGUUUGAUCGUGGCUCAGGAUGAACGCUAGCGGCAGGCUUAAUACAUGCAAGUCGAACGGCAGCACGUGUAGCAAUACAUGGUGGCGAGUGGCGCACGGGUGCGUAACACGUAUGUAACCUACCUCUAACAGUGGCAUAACAAUGAGAAAUUAUUGCUAAUUCCGCAUGUGGUUAAUUUGAGGCAUCUUAGAUUAACUAAAGAUUUAUCGGUUAGAGCUGGGCAUGCGUCCCAUUAGCUAGUUGGUGAGGUAACGGCUCACCAAGGCAUCGAUGGGUAGGGGCUCUGAGAGGAUUGUCCCCCACACUGGUACUGAGACACGGACCAGACUCCUACGGGAGGCAGCAGUAAGGAAUAUUGGGCAAUGGACGCAAGUCUGACCCAGCCAUGCCGCGUGAAGGAAGACGGCCCUAUGGGUUGUAAACUUCUUUUCUCAGGGGGUAAACUCUGGAACGUGUUCCGGACUGAAAGUACCUGAGGAAUAAGCAUCGGCUAACUCCGUGCCAGCAGCCGCGGUAAUACGGAGGAUGCGAGCGUUAUCCGGAUUCAUUGGGUUUAAAGGGUGCGCAGGCGGAUAUAUAAGUCGGAGGUGAAAUUCUGAUGCUCAACAUCAGCCGUGCCUUCGAUACUGUAUAUCUAGAGUCAAGUUGGAGUAGGCGGAAUGUGUUGUGUAGCGGUGAAAUGCUUAGAUAUAACACAGAACACCGAUCGCGAAGGCAGCUUACUAAACUUUGACUGACGCUCAUGCACGAAAGCGUGGGGAUCAAACAGGAUUAGAUACCCUGGUAGUCCACGCUGUAAACGAUGAUUACUCGCUGUUGGCGAUACACAGUCAGUGGCUAAGCGAAAGUGAUAAGUAAUCCACCUGGGGAGUACGACGGCAACGUUGAAACUCAAAGGAAUUGACGG